rnacentral:rRNA from 1 species
CCUACGGGCGGCAGCAGUGGGGAAUAUUGGACAAUGGGCGAAAGCCUGAUCCAGCCAUGCCGCGUGUGUGAAGAAGGCCUUCGGGUUGUAAAGCACUUUCAGUGGGGAAGAAAGCCUUGGGGCUAAUACCCUCGAGGAAGGACAUCACCCACAGAAGAAGCACCGGCUAACUCCGUGCCAGCACCCGCGGUAAUACGGAGGGUGCGAGCGUUAAUCGGAAUUACUGGGCGUAAAGCGCGCGUAGGCGGUCUGAUAAGCCGGUUGUGAAAGCCCCGGGCUCAACCUGGGAACGGCAUCCGGAACUGUCAGGCUAGAGUGCAGGAGAGGAAGGUAGAAUUCCCGGUGUAGCGGUGAAAUGCGUAGAGAUCGGGAGGAAUACCAGUGGCGAAGGCGGCCUUCUGGACUGACACUGACGCUGAGGUGCGAAAGCGUGGGUAGCAAACAGGAUUAGAUACCCCUGUAGUC